rnacentral:rRNA from 1 species
AGCGAACGCUGGCGGCAGGCUUAACACAUGCAAGUCGAACGGGCGCUUCGGUGCUAGUGGCAGACGGGUGAGUAACGCGUGGGAACGUGCCUUUCGGUUCGGAAUAAUCCAGGGAAACUUGGACUAAUACCGGAUAAGCCCUUCGGGGGAAAGAUUUAUCGCCGAAAGAUCGGCCGGCGUCUGAUUAGGUUGUUGGUGAGGUAAAGGCUCACCAAGGCGACGAUCAGUAGCUGGUCUGAGAGGAUGAUCAGCCACAUUGGGACUGAGACACGGCCCAAACUCCUACGGGAGGCAGCAGUGGGGAAUAUUGGACAAUGGGCGCAAGCCUGAUCCAGCCAUGCCGCGUGAGUGAUGAAGGCCUUAGGGUUGUAAAGCUCUUUUGUCCGGGAAGAUAAUGACUGUACCGGAAGAAUAAGCCCCGGCUAACUUCGUGCCAGCCGCCGCGGUAAAAC